GUUUGUGGGAGGCGUUCUUCCACAACAAAAAUGAUCAGAAUUUUGUAUAUAAUUCUUAUUCAUACAUUAGCGAACCAGGUUCCUUGCAUGAUUGUUUCAAAGAUUAGAACCUGUUACCUCUUCUUCUAUGUAUCCCUUGUUACGUCUAUGCUAUAUUAAAAAAUGAAUAAGUUGGGUCCAUGGAUCUGUCAAACUUUUUAAUUCAAGUUUUGAUAUCAAUACCUCUGACAAUCUGAAGAUAAGCAUUGUGGGAAAACCAUGCCGCCGUGUGAGAGAUUUCAUGCCUCAAAGCUAUAUAUAUAUAUAUAUAUAAAGCAACACUUACAACUAUAGUACCAAGAAAUUUGUCUCCCCUUUUCUUUUCUUUUUUUUUUUUAAUGCGAACCGGAGGAAGUGAGACUCUUCCCCCAUGCUUUAUAAUUAAAAUAUAAAAAGGCUGUUACAUAAUAAGUUCCAAGAAGUAAAAAGGUUGAAUGAGAAAAGUGGGGAAGGAUGUGGAAGAUAGGGAAGGAGAGAAGUUCCACCUCUGGGGAAGACAAGCCCUUAUUCGUAUUCACGUCAGGAGAGGUGGUAGUAGUGCAUGGAUAUGGAUGCAUGCAGGCGUGAAACUAGAACUCUAGUGUUCCAGUGAGGCGCAGAUGAAAUUAUGCAUGGGGCAACAGCACUUCCGAGGGAUAUCGGAGAUGGCGUUGGGGGUGAAGAUGAAGCAGAAGGCAUUAGCCGGACUCUUCGUCCACCUCGCAUGGCCCUACGAAUUAGUAACACAUCUCGACUGCCACCAAGUAUGCAAAUUACCACAACGUUAUUAAUAAAAAACAAAGUAAAAAUCUUAGAUCAGAUGCAAAAAUGCUUCUCUUUUUGCUAGUUAAUUAGAUGCCAAAAUGCCUUUUUAAGCCAGUGGUUGAGAUGUAUACAUUCGUCGUCGGACCGAGCGAGCACGGCGAGAGCGAGGAGAAGAAUGCCGACGGUCACAAGGGAUUGCUUAGAGGCCAUCUUUGGAAGUUGGCUUGGAGAAUUAUGGAGUAGGACUGCCUCUUGGAAUUGCUUGGUACUUGCUGAAACUAGGGAGGCUCUCCUUAUAUAGAGGCACUUUUUUUUUU
rnacentral:lncRNA from 1 species